rnacentral:rRNA from 1 species
UACGAGGGGGCAAAUGUUGUUCGGAAUCACUGGGCGUAAAGGGUGCGUAGGCGGGUCUUUAAGUCAGGGGUGAAAUCCUGGAGCUCAACUCCAGAACUGCCUUCGAUACUGGAAGACUUGAGUCCGGGAGAGGUGAGUGGAACUGCGAGUGUAGAGGUGAAAUUCGUAGAUAUUCGCAAGAACACCAGUGGCGAAGGCGGCUCACUGGCCCGGUACUGACGGCUGAGGUGCGAAAGCGUGGGGAGCAAACAGG